GCAAAACGCGAAGAACCUUACCUGGUCUUGACAUAGUAAGAACUUUCCAGAGAUGGAUUGGUGCCUUCGGGAACUUACAUACAGGUGCUGCAUGGCUGUCGUCAGCUCAUGUCGUGAGAUGUUGGGUUAAGUCCCGCAACGAGCGCAACCCUUUCCUUAUUUGCCAUCGGGUUAAGCCGGGAACCUUUAGGAUACUGCCAGUGACAAACUGGAGGAAGGCGGGGACGACGUCAAGUCAUCAUGGCCCUUACGACCAGGGCUACACACGUGCUACAAUGGUCGGUACAAAGGGUUGCUACCUAGCGAUAGGAUGCUAAUCUCAAAAAGCCGAUCGUAGUCCGGAUCGCAGUCUGCAACUCGACUGCGUGAAGUCGGAAUCGCUAGUAAUCGCGAAUCAGAAUGUCGCGGUGAAUACGUUCCCGGGUCUUGUACACACCG
rnacentral:rRNA from 1 species